UUUAAAUUCAUGCUCUUCUGUUUUAAAUUCACCAAUAAAGAGUAAGCCCUCAAAAAUCCUAGGCCCCCACCCCCAUAAAAGCAGGACCCAGGCCUAUGCACUCUCUCUCUCUCCUCACGGCCUUGCUGUGUGGCCCUCGGUGUGCUGUGCAACUUCCAGGUCUGCCCCCCGGUACAUAGUUGCAUAUUCUUCGUUGUGGGUCCUUCCAGUUGUAGCAUGUGGGACGCCACCUCAGUGUGGCUCAAUGAGCAGCGCCAUGUCCAUGCCCAGGAUUGGAACCAAUGAAACACUGGGCCGCCUGCAGCGGAGCACGUGAACUCAACCACUCAGCCACCGGCCCAGCCCUGAUGGCCAGGCUAUUUUUGAUUCUAUAUUUUAGAUGUAUAAAAUGAUGUUUAGUAUUAUGGCAAGAAAAUCCAUAUCCUUUUGUUAGGAAAAAUGAUGCUGGAAAUUUUCAGCGGAGACAGCAUUCCCUUCCCAAAGCUGAGAAGCAGAGAUUGUUACAACUUUCCCACAAUGUUUUACUUAAACGUAUAAACACACACAACUUGAGUAAAGAACAAUCCCAGGAGGCUUGUGGAAAGGAGGUCAAAGUUAAGUUUUUCGUAUUUCAACAGCCCAGAACAAACAAAACACCCACAUCAUCAUCUUCAUCCUAAUCGCUAAAAUUCAGAGCCGUUAAUUAUGUUUGGGAUUUGGAGAGAAGUCCUGGGGGUUUUGUCAUGAGGUCAUUUUAAAUGUCAUCCUGGAAGAAUUAAGAGUCUGUCUUAUCAGCAUCUGCAAGCAUGAGACAAUCAGGAAAGGAUGAGGAAAGAUAAAAGCCAAGAACUGAAGACAUACAGACACAGCGUGCAAGCAUCUUCUGAAAGAGGAAGGGACAUACACGAUGUGAAGAAGUACGAACAAGAUUCCCACAGACCAUCCAGCAAUUAUAUCGUCUAGUUAGAUUUCAAGAUUGUAAUUUAGUUUCCCGCUUUUUUGUUCCCACACUUUUUCCUGCACAUUCUUUUCACAGCUUAGAAUAGCUAUUUUUUUCAACUUUACUGAAGUAUAGCUGAUAAAUAAAACCG
rnacentral:lncRNA from 1 species